rnacentral:tRNA from 1 species
UGGGUUGUGGCUCAGAGGUGGAGCACUCGCCUACCAUGUGCGAGGCUCUGGGUUCAAUCCUCAGCACCACAU